CCUACGGGAGGCAGCAGUGAGGAAUAUUGGUCAAUGGACGCAAGUCUGAACCAGCCAUGCCGCGUGAAGGAAGACGGCCCUAUGAGUUGUAAACUGCUUUUGUACGGGAGUAAACGCAGAUACGCGUAUCUGUCUGAAAGUAUCGUACGAAUAAGGAUCGGCUAACUCCGUGCCAGCAGCCGCGGUAAUACGGAGGAUUCGAGCGUUAUCCGGAUUUAUUGGGUUUAAAGGGUGCGUAGGCGGUCGGAUAAGUUAGAGGUGAAAUCCCGAGGCUCAACUUCGGAAUUGCCUUUGAUACUGGUAGGCUAGAGAGUAGUUGCGGUAGGCGGAAUGCAUGGUGUAGCGGUGAAAUGCUUAGAGAUCAUACAGAACACCGAUUGCGAAGGCAGCUUACCAAGCUACUUCUGACGUUGAGGCACGAAAGCGUGGGGAGCAAACAGGAUUAGAUACCCGAGUAGUC
rnacentral:rRNA from 1 species